rnacentral:rRNA from 1 species
AUGCAGCAGGGCGAGUACCGCUCGUCGUCUUCCAGCGAGGGCUCCGCGGGGUCGGCGUCGGCUGCGGCGGCGGCGAUGGCGCCUCUGGCGGCUGCGGUCGCGGCGGUGGCGGCCAAGGAGGAGCACAACGUGACGGUGGCCGUGGCGCCGCCCAUGCCCAUGGCGAUGGCGAUGCCGCUGCAGCAGCAGCAGCCGCGGAAGCAGUACCGCGGCGUGCGCAUGCGCAAGUGGGGCAAGUGGGUGGCGGAGAUCCGCGAGCCGCACAAGCGGACGCGCAUCUGGCUGGGGUCCUACGCCACCCCCGUCGCCGCCGCGCGCGCCUACGACACGGCCGUCUUCUACCUGCGCGGCAGGUCGGCGCGCCUCAACUUCCCCGACGAGAUCUCCGCGCUGGCGCUGUCGUCGCCCGAGGCCGCCGCCGAGGCCGGAGGGGAGGAGCCGGGCGACGGCGGCGGCGCGCUGUCGGCCGCGUCGAUCCGGAAGAAGGCCAUCGAGGUCGGGUCCCGCGUGGACGCGCUCCAGACCGGCAUGACCACCAUGGUCGCCGCGCCCGCGCACCACCGGGAGCGGCAGCGGCUCCACCAACACCACCACCACGCGGAGCCGCACGCUGAGGAGCUGCACCGCCACGUGAAGCAGCAGCGGACGGCGUGGAACGGGCGCGCCAAGAACCCGGAUCUCAACCAGGCGCCGAGCCCGGACACCUCCGACGCCGAGUGA